rnacentral:rRNA from 1 species
UUUUAUGGAGAGUUUGAUCCUGGCUCAGGAUGAACGCUGGCGGCGUGCCUAAUACAUGCAAGUCGAGCGAACGGACGAGAAGCUUGCUUCUCUGAUGUUAGCGGCGGACGGGUGAGUAACACGUGGAUAACCUACCUAUAAGACUGGUAAGAUCCCUCAAAGAUGAUGAGGUUAAUAGGUUCGAGGUGGAAGCAUGGUGACAUGUGGAGCUGACGAAUACUAAUCGAUCGAAGACUUAAUCAAAAUAAAUGUUUUGCGAAGCAAAAUCACUUUUACUUACUAUCUAGUUUUGAAUGUAUAAUUUACAUUCAUAUGUCUGGUGACUAUAGCAAGGAGGUCACACCUGUUCCCAUGCCGAACACAGAAGUUAAGCUCCUUAGCGUCGAUGGUAGUCGAACUUACGUUCCGCUAGAGUAGAACGUUGCCAGGCAAGUUGAGACCGUAAGGUCUCUUUUUUUUAUGUCUAAAACGUCAAAAUAAAAAGCAAACACAAAGAAAAAUGGCUUGGCGAAGUGAAAACGUUUGAAUCUGACGAAACGAGAAAAGAGCGCAACGAGUUUAGUAGAGCUAAAUGAGUAAGUGAGAGCCGAAGGAGAGGAAAGAAGCAAGCGAUUGUCACAAGUCAAGAAAGGUCUUUAGCGGCGAUGGUAGCCAACUUACGUUCCGCUAGAGUAGAACGUUGCUAGGCAAGAAAUGGAUGUGAUGAGCCGCAUUGAGUGUGAAAUUGAUAUUUUAAUAAUGUGCACUUUUGAUUAUUUAAAUCUGUGACUAGAAGUAUAAGUGAAGACAUUCAGAAGUAUUAUAAAAAGUGAACAGCAGUAAGAUAGUUUUUAAUCAUAAAUCAUCUUACUGCUGUUUUUAGAUUUUAUGUCUAAUAUUUUUUAAAUCGAAAUACAAAAAGGAAAUUAAUUAUUAUACAAUAGACAAGCUAUUGCAUAAGUAACACUAACUUUUGUCAAAGAAGUGUUACUAUAUAAUUAAUACUUUUGAAAGUAACUAAUUCCAAAACAGUGUAAAUAAAGGAAGCGUAUAUCAUGAAGCAACCUAUUUUAAAUAAAUUAGAAAGUUUAAAUCAAGAAGAAGCGAUUUCUUUGCAUGUUCCGGGUCAUAAAAAUAUGACUAUCGGUCAUUUAUCUCAAUUAUCAAUGACAAUGGAUAAAACUGAAAUACCUGGAUUAGAUGAUUUACAUCAUCCUGAAGAAGUCAUUUUGGAAAGUAUGAAGCAGGUGGAGAAACAUUCAGAUUAUGAUGCUUAUUUCUUAGUGAAUGGCACCACUUCAGGAAUAUUAUCUGUCAUCCAGUCUUUUUCACAGAAAAAAGGCGAUAUCUUAAUGGCAAGAAAUGUACAUAAAUCUGUGUUACAUGCGCUCGAUAUUAGCCAACAAGAAGGGCAUUUUAUUGAAACGCAUCAAAGUCCGUUAACGAAUCAUUAUAAUAAAGUUAAUUUAAGCCGUUUGAAUAAUGACGGUCACAAACUUGCUGUGUUGACUUAUCCUAACUAUUACGGUGAAACAUUUAAUGUAGAAGAGGUUAUCAAAUCUUUGCACCAAUUAAA